AAAGCCGCGAGGCAGAGCGAAUCGCUAAAAGCCGUCCCAGUUCGGAUUGCAGGCUGCAACCCGCCUGCAUGAAGUUGGAAUCGCUAGUAAUCGCGGAUCAGCAUGCCGCGGUGAAUACGUUCCCGGGCCUUGUACACACCGCCCGUCACACCAUGAGAGUCGGGAACACCCGAAGUCCGUAGCCUGACCGCAAGGAGGGAGCUGCCUAAGGUGGGGUAGAUGAUUGGGGUGAAGUCGUAACAAGGUAGC
rnacentral:rRNA from 1 species